rnacentral:rRNA from 1 species
GCCUCCUAAAAGGUAACGGAGGCGCUCAAAGGUUCCCUCAGAAUGGUUGGAAAUCAUUCAUAGAGUGUAAAGGCAUAAGGGAGCUUGACUGCGAGACCUACAAGUCGAGCAGGGUCGAAAGACGGACUUAGUGAUCCGGUGGUUCCGCAUGGAAGGGCCAUCGCUCAACGGAUAAAAGCUACCCCGGGGAUAACAGGCUUAUCUCCCCCAAGAGUUCACAUCGACGGGGAGGUUUGGCACCUCGAUGUCGGCUCAUCGCAUCCUGGGGCUGUAGUCGGUCCCAAGGGUUGGGCUGUUCGCCCAUUAAAGCGGUACGCGAGCUGGGUUCAGAACGUCGUGAGACAGUUCGGUCCCUAUCCGUCGUGGGCGUAGGAAAUUUGAGAGGAGCUGUCCUUAGUACGAGAGGACCGGGAUGGACAUACCUCUGGUGUACCAGUUGUCGUGCCAACGGCAUAGCUGGGUAGCUAUGUGUGGACGGGAUAAGUGCUGAAAGCAUCUAAGCAUGAAGCCCCCCUCAAGAUGAGAUUUCCCAACUUCGGUUAUAAGAUCCCUCAAAGAUGAUGAGG